rnacentral:tRNA from 1 species
GGUCCAUUGGAGCAGGGGAUGAUCUCGCCUCCCUGGCACGGAGGAGAUCGGGGGUUCAAAUCCCAUAUGGACCG